GGGGGCACCUGACGACGAUUCCGCGUGGAGGAUGAAGGGCUUCGGCUUGUAAACUCCUGUCACCGACGAACAAGGCGUCCGGGCGAACAUCCCGGACGAUUGAUGGUAGUCGGAGAGGAAGGGGCGGCUAACUCUGUGCCAGCAGCCGCGGUGAUACAGAGGCCCCAAGCGUUGUUCGGAUUUACUGGGCGUAAAGGGUGUGUAGGGGGUCGGGUUAGUCCGAUGUGAAAUCCCGCUGCUUAACAGCGGAACUGCAUCGGAUACUGCCCGGCUGGAGGUCCGGAGAUGAGAGCGGAAUUCUCGGUGUAGCGGUGAAAUGCGUAGAUAUCGAGAGGAACGCCGACGGCGAAAGCAGCUCUCAAGACGAAAUCUGACCCUGAGGCACGAAGGCCAGGGGAGCAAACGGGAUUAGAUACCCCGGUAGUCCUGGCAGUAAACGGUGCUCAUUAGAUGUAGGCGGAUUCGACCCCGCCUGUGUCGAACCUAACGGAUUAAAUGAGCCGCCUGGGAAGUACGGUCGCAAGAUUAAAACUCAAAGAAAUUGACGGGGGCCCGCACAAGCGGUGGAGUAUGUGGCUUAAUUCGAUGCAACGCGNC
rnacentral:rRNA from 1 species